AUGGUGGUUACAGUGAGGAAGGGCUCUGCUCUAGGCCUAAAAUGCUUUCUUAUAACAUUCUUAGCUUUGGGGUUGUUGAUGACAGCCACUGCAUCUGUUAAGCCAAUGAAUUCCAAAAGCUUUUGUGUAUUACUAACACAGAGGUGGCCAAAGAAUGGCUGACUUAAGGGCUAAAGCUAUCCCAAGAUAAGGUAAUCAGCCUGGAGGCCUGUAACAUUCCAACCUCUUCACGGUAUUGAAAUUCUAAUCACUCUCUACAGACACAGCUUCCUUUCAGGAGUUUUCAUUUACAGUUUUUUGACACUAUAAAAUUUGUCAAUUUAUACUUCAAUCUACCAAAUUAUUUCUUGAUACUCAGCACACAGAGAAGACAGUACCCCAUGGGAACUAUUCUGAGCUAGUGCCCUUUGUGUGGGCUGAGCCCUGCUACUGCCUAAGCAGAAAUUCAACUCAACAAUCAGAGACAUUGUGACAAGUGAGUAGACAUACAACAAACCAGAGUGUGCCUGAUAAAGUCCUGCACACUAAUACUGAAACCAAACCUCCCCGCAAAUAGUGCCACCAACUGGGAAACAAAUGGUCAGGUACUGGGAGCUAAUGGGCAACUAUGGGAGAACAUUCUUUAUCAAAAUAUUGUCUACUGGUGAAUAUGGGGUAUUGAAAUCACCCACUGUGUUGGGAUCAAUCUGUGGUUUUAGAUCUACCAGUGCUUCUUCCAUGAAAUGAGGAGCCCAUGUGUUUGGUUAUUUAGGAAGACUCUACCAUCAUAUAUGAUUAAAUUCUAGAGAAGAAGUUGUCCGGAGUCCAGAUUCAGAUUCAGCAGUGGCUUCAAAGAAAACAUUCUCUAUGUUAAAGACUUUAUAGUGAAUUGAAAAUGAGUUAGUUUUAAAAAGUUAAAAGAAUUCACAAUGUUAAUGAAGAUGAACCUAACAAUCUCA